GGAUGUGAGGGCGAUCUGGCUGCGACAUCUGUUACCCCAUUGAUCGCCAGGGUUGAUUCGGCUGAUCUGGCUGGCUAGGCGGGUGUCCCCUUCCUCCCUCACCGCUCCAUGUGCGUCCCUCCAUGUGCGCGCUCAGUCGAAGAGGACGACCAUCCCCAGUAGAGGAGGACCGUUCUUCGGUCAAGGGUAUAUGAGUAGCUGCGCUCCCCUGCUAGAACCUCCAAACAAGCUCUCAAGAAUGGCUAUAACUGUAUUACCUAAGUUUCUAUGUCAUGUAUUCAUUUUCAUUCCACUCAAAGUAUUUUAAAUUUUCUUCUUGUGGUAAUUAGUGUGUGUGUGUGUGUGA
rnacentral:snRNA from 1 species